rfam:Triticum aestivum genome assembly, contig: Triticum_aestivum_CS42_TGACv1_scaffold_485330_6AS
UUUGUACUCCCUCCGUGCCCAAAUUCUUGUCUUAAAUUUUUCUAAAUACGGAUGUAUCUAGUUACAUUUUAGUGUUAGAUACAUCCAUAUCUAAACAAAUGUAAGACAAGAAUUUUGGGACGGAGGGAAUACCAC